rnacentral:misc_RNA from 1 species
GUAAGCUUUCUACUUUGCAAACAUCUAAAACAGUUAUGAUGUUUUAUUGUUAUUAUUAUAAUUAUUAUCAUAGAUUAAAAGAUACAUUAGUGCCAAAAAUCAAGAAAAAAAAAGAAAAUUAAAGCAGUACCAAGACGACAACAGCACAUCAGCUGGUUGGAAUUAUUAAGAAAAAGAAGUAAGAUGAUAAUAAUGCUAGUACAUAAUUAUAUUUAUAUAAUUAUUAAGCUAAUGUAAAUAUAUUAUUUGUUAAUCAAAUUUAUUUGGCUCUUUCCCUUAUGACAUCAAAUCCCAUCUCAGUUGGGUCAGUUGCUUGCAAUUCAUAGUGGAUACCAUCCAGCACUCUUCUCAAUCCAUCUUUGGAGGUUGCAUAUAGGAUUUUUGCUCUAAUUCUUGAUGCUGUUGGAGACCUGAAAUUAAACAACAAUAAUUUCUGUUAUUUUUUGAAAAUUUUAUUUCAGUUAUUUUUUAAAAAUUUUUUGGCAAAAUUUAUAUAUAUAAUCAAGUCCAAUGAGAAAAUUAAAGGGUAUUUUUGGUAUCAUCAUAUAUAAUUAUAUAUACUAUGCUUGCUAAUUGAACAACCUUUUAAUGUACAUGUGAAACCCAAGAAUCCUUGACCCUGUACCUAAUUAGGGUAUAUGCACCUAAAAACUAAGUGGAAAAGGGACUUGGAUCUUCUAUCUACAGACAAUGAAAUGUACCAAAAAUAAUUAAUGAAAAUUUAAUUUUUCCUACUUUUACAGCUUCCACUCACCUCAUUCUUAAUUGAUUACUCAUGAUGAACUCGACUGUACUUUAAUGUCUCAAGUCAAGGGCUUGAGUGCGAACAAAUCUAAUGAAUUUAGAAGAUAAUUUAUUAUUAUUAAUAAUUUAAGUGGAAUAUAUAUGAUUUAGCAAUUCUGUUAGUAAUUAAUGGAAGAUAAAAAUAUUGUAACUAAGAAGUAUAAGGAAGGACCAAGCAAUGAAGAAGAUCUUGCUCUUCCGGCAAUUAUCGACGGUGACAAAGUCGAAGUCGAAAACGGCAUAUCUACAGUCAUCGUUGGGCAAUGAAGCAGCAAGCUCAUCAUAGCCCUCGCCGGGACCACCAACCUUAUCGACGGUGACCAAUCUUGAUUUCUCAUCGAUCUUGAACACUAUGAACCUGUGGACCUUCUUCCACUUCAUCUCCAUGAAGGAGUUCUUGCAUUCAUCAGUCACCCAGAUUCCAGUGGUCGCCAUCUUGAAAGCCAUCGCCAUUGUUGAGAAGGAAAGGUAUUUGGUGUGUUUGAAAGGUGAUAUGAAGAAUAUUGAAGAAUAUGAUCGCA